UGCAGAUUUGCAUUCAGGAUGUCUGCUCACAUCACAGGGUUUAAGAAGCAAGCGGAGAAGGCACCACUGAAUUCAGAGAGCCCUGUGGCUGAGUGUGCUGUUCCUAGGAUGGCUUGGGUCACCACACUGCUGGUUCUGGUAGCCUGUUGGGCAGGUUCCAGCUACCAGUUCACUUUGACUCAGCCACUCAGUAUGUCAGUGACUCCAGGAGAAAGUGUCCAACUCGCAUGUGUUCUGAGCAGUGGAGACAGCAUCAGCAGUAGAUACAUAUACUGGUACCAGCAGAAGCAAGGGGAGAAACCAAGAUACCUGCUGUAUUACAAGGAUGACUCUACCCAGGGUAAAGGCUCUGGUGUCCCUGACAGGUUCACUGCCUCUAAAGACACUUCCCGGAACACCUGCUUUUUAACGAUCAGCAGGGCUCAAGUGGAGGACGAAGCUGAUUACUAUUGCUCAGACUGGGACGGCACAGCUAACCAGUACACAGUGAUACAGCUGCAUGGAGAAGAGGAAUAAAAACCCCUUUCACCCAUAGUGACACAGCGCCGGGAGCCCACCUGCGUGUCUCUUGUUCCUAUGAGAUGCCCGGUGGAUUGGCUCCUGGCUAAGUGUGAUCUCCAAUUCCUGUCAGUCCUCAUUGCCUUUCAAAGCUACGGGCUUUUCUGGCUGAAGAACUCACCUGUAUUCUGACACAACAUCACUGCUCUGAUGCACAGACUGAGUUAAAGGCAGUAAGGGACUCAAUCCAGGGCACUAGGGAUCACAGCCCCAAGGAUACUAACAGGAACCAUUCUACAGUAGGCAUUAUGCUGUGAGAUUGGACCACCCCGAAGCUGGUAUUUGAAGAGGUCUUCCUGGCUAAUGGCUGGUACAGUUAUUACACUUCUAGCUCCAGCUCGUAGUUCUGCUGAGUUGCAGCCUAGAAGGGACCAUUGUGACCAUCCAGU